AAUUGAAAACCCUUUACCCCUAAUUUGAUUCCCUCCCAAAAUCCAUUUUGUUACUUUUCGUUUCUCUCAAUUGAAGACCCUAGCGCCUCUUUUACAUCUUCAAUCCAAGCUAAAACCUUCGCAUCUUCAAAGGCCGAACCAUCUGAUACAACUCUUCGCAUCCUCACGAUUUCACUAAGAUCUGAUGGUAAAUCUAUUAUUAAAUGUCUAUGUCCUCCUUUACAACCCCAGUUUGAGCAUAAAUACGAAACGAAACCAAACCAAACCAAACCACAUUGGUUCUACUCGAACCCUCGUAACCGUAGUCUACCAUUAGAACCAUUGCAAGAACCAGUCACCCGUUGCAGUAGAUUUUUCGGGCAUCAACUGUUGCCGCACGACUCUACUACUGUAGCCGCCACAACUGUAACACCACCACGGUCGCCCGUAACUCUUUCGAAUCUGUGGAGUUGUUCAGUGGGGAAAGAUGUUCCACUGUUCAUCUUUAUCGAAAUGUUCAUUGUUGUUUAAGAGCACUUCAAGGAGUGGACCAUCAACUAGUAGGGAAGGAUGUGGGGAGCACGUGAGUUUUUCAAGAAGAGAAUAUGAAACAUUAAGAAGUGGAUAAAGAUGAUGAAAAUGUAAGUUUUGUAUGUAAGUAUGUAACCCAAAAUAUUACAUAUUCUCUAAUCCUAUAAAUAUAUUAAAUAAGUCAUUAUAUUCUCUAAUCCUAUUAAAUAUAUUUUGAGGGUUUUUACAUGGCGUACCAAGAGACCACAUAUGAACUUGAUUGGGAUCCCCAAGUUGAUGUUGUAAUUUGCCGGAAAAGCUAACGCAUGCAGUGGGAAAAUAUUUGUGACGGUCCCACCUGAUCAUUUCGGCUCCAUUCUCUUAGAGAAUGAUCCCGAAAGAAGUAUGGGAGUUUUGGUUGGGGAAAUAUGGGAGGACCGUUUGGAAUGUAGGCAGUGGGGGGCCCAUUUUCCGCAUGUUGUGGGUAUAUGUGGGUAGUCUGAUUACGGUGCACAAUCUGUCGCAUUAUCAAGAGGAUAUGAAGAUGAUGAGGAUCAUGGAGAGUGGUUUUUCUGUACUUUUUUGUUAAUAGUGGUGGAAGAGAUCUUAGUGGAAAUAAAAGGACUAACAAGACACAAUCCUUUGAUCAGAAGUUUGAUAAAUCCAAUGAAGCCUUACGAGUUAGCUGUAAAAAGGUCUACCUUGUACGUGUUGUGAGGUCUCACAAGGAAAAGCGAUCGGCCUAUGCACCUGAACAAGGAGUCAGAUAUGAUGGGAUAUACAGGAUCGAGAAAUGCUGGAGGAAGCCCGGAAUUCAAGUAUACCGGUAUCUUUUUGUUCGUUGUGAUAAUGAUCCUGCUCCUUGGACAAGACCGCCCGAGACCUUUGCCUGUCAUUAAGGAGCUGAAGGAUGCAAGUGAUGUGAUAGAGAGGAAGGGGUCCCCAUCUUGGGAUUAUGAUGUUUGGGAGGUUGCCAAAAUAUCUUGCAAGUCAGAUUAUACCUCUGGUAGUACUGGUUCCAGAGAUUCCACUAGAUGCAACUCUUAUCUUUGAGGUGGAGCUGGUGGCUUGUUGGCCAAGAAAAGGUUCUAGCGUGGCUAGCGCCUUAGAUGAAAGGGUUAGACUAGAUGAGCUGAAGAGGCAAAGGGAAAUGGCUGCUGCACAGAAGGAAGAAGAGAAAACGAAGUGUGAAGAAGCAAAGGCAGUAGUGCUACUUGUAUUCUAGCAGUGAGUAUAUGGACUGCUGCUCGUAUUCAAGCAGUGAGUAUAUGGGUUCGAAGAAAACAUCCUAGAAAUAGCUCUUAGUUUUUGUGUACAUUUGUUUCCCUUUCAAACUUUUAUUGAUAGGUUUUGAUUAGAAGUUUGUCUUUAGUUAGUAUUUAAACUAAACUUAUGUAUGGAUUUUAGGAUCUUAUUGUUAA